rnacentral:rRNA from 1 species
UACGGAGGGGGCUAGCGUUAGUCGGAAUUAUUGGGCGUAAAGGGCGCGUAGGCGGCUUGAUAAGUCAAAGGUGAAAUCCCUCGGCUCAACUGAGGAACUGCCUUUGAAACUAUCGAGCUUGAGGCCGGGAGGGGGUAGCGGAAUUCCCAGUGUAGCGGUGAAAUGCGUAGAUACUGGGAGGAACACCGGUGGCGAAGGCGGCUACCUGGACCGGUUCUGACGCUGAGGCGCGAAAGCGUGGGUAGCAAACAGG